GACGAACGCUAGCGGCAGGCCUAAUACAUGCAAGUCGAACGGUAAGGCCUCUUCGGAGGUACACGAGUGGCGCACGGGUGCGUAACGCGUAUGCAACCUACCCUAAAGAGGGGGAAAGUCGCGGGAAACUGCGAAUAAUACCCCAUGGUAUCUUAAGAUCACCUGAUCUAAAGAUUAAAGUUCCGGCGCUUUAGGAUGGGCAUGCGUCCCAUUAGUUAGUUGGUGAGGUAACGGCUUACCAAGACAAUGAUGGGUAGCUGGUCUGAGAGGAUGAUCAGCCACACGGGCACUGAGACACGGGCCCGACUCCUACGGGAGGCAGCAGUAAGGAAUAUUGGUCAAUGGGGGCAACCCUGAACCAGCCAUGCCGCGUGGAGGAAGAAGGCCCUCUGGGUCGUAAACUGCUUUUCUGAGGGACUAACUAUGUGCUAUACGCACGUUUGCAGGUACCUUAGGAAUAAGCACCGGCUAACUACG
rnacentral:rRNA from 1 species